GGAGCCUCGCUCACGGAUUCUUCUCGGUUCAACCAGCGAACACUCCGACAGUGACCCGAAAGAGCACACAAGAAAAAGCGCUCGCCCAAUCAAACAACACAAGUCUAUAUUGAGGAGAAGGCUUGACGCGCCGUCGGC